rnacentral:rRNA from 1 species
AUUGAACGCUGGCGGCAGGCCUAACACAUGCAAGUCGAGCGGAUGAAGGGAGCUUGCUCCUGGCUUCAGCGGCGGACGGGUGGGUAAUGCCUAGGAAUCUGCCUGGUAGUGGGGGAUAACGUCCGGAAACGGGCGCUAAUACCGCAUACGUCCUGAGGGAGAAAGUGGGGGAUCUUCGGACCUCACGCUAUCAGCUGAGCCUAAGUCGGAUUAGCUAGUUGGUGGGGUAAAGGCCUACCAAGGCGACGAUCCGUAACUGGUCUGAGAGGAUGAUCAGUCACACUGGAACUGAGACACGGUCCAGACUCCUACGGGAGGCAGCAGUGGGGAAUAUUGGACAAUGGGCGAAAGCCUGAUCCAGCCAUGCCGCGUGUGUGAAGAAGGUCUUCGGAUUGUAAAGCACUUUAAGUUGGGAGGAAGGGCAGUAAGUUAAUACCUUGCUGUUUUGACGGUACCAACAGAAUAAGCACCGGCUAACUUCGUG